GACGAACGCUGGCGGCGUGCUUAACACAUGCCAGUCGAACGAAGAGCGACGGAAGCUUGCUUCUAUCAAUCUUAGUGGCGAACGGGUGAGUAACGCGUAAUCAACCUGCCCUUCAGAGGGGGACAACAGUUGGAAACGACUGCUAAUACCGCAUACGAUCUAACCUCGGCAUCGAGGAUAGAUGAAAGGUGGCCUCUACAUGUAAGCUAUCACUGUAGGAGGGGAUUGCGUCUGAUUAGCUAGUUGGAGGGGUAACGGCCCACCAAGGCGAUGAUCAGUAGCCGGUCUGAGAGGAUGAACGGCCACAUUGGGCCUGAGACACGGCCCAGACUCCUACGGGAGGCAGCAGUAGGGAAUCUUCCGCAAUGGACGAAAGUCUGACGGUGCAACGCCGCGUGAGUGAUGACGGCCUUCGGGUUGUAAAGCUCUGUUAAUCGGGACGAAAGGCCUUCUUGCGAAUAGUGAGAAGGAUUGACGGUACCGGAAUAGAAAGCCACGGCUAACUACGUG
rnacentral:rRNA from 1 species